rnacentral:rRNA from 1 species
GAUGAACGCUAGCGGCAGGCUUAAUACAUGCAAGACGAACGGUAAGUGUUGUAGCAAUAUAGCACGAGAGUGUCGUACGGGUGCGUAACACGUAUGCAACCUACCUUGUACAGGAGGAUAGCUCGGGGAAACUCGAAUUAACCCUCCAUAAUAUAUUUGAAUGGCAUCAUUUGAAUAUUAAAACCUUGGUGGUACAAGAUGGGCAUGCGUCUGAUUAGUUAGGGUUAGUGUAAUGGACUACCAAGACGAUGAUCAGUAGGGGACCUGAGAGGGUG